rnacentral:rRNA from 1 species
GAGUUUGAUCCUGGCUCAGAUUGAACGCUGGCGGCAGGCCUAACACAUGCAAGUCGAGCGGUAGAGAGAAGCUUGCUUCUCUUGAGAGCGGCGGACGGGUGAGUAAUGCCUAGGAAUCUGCCUGGUAGUGGGGGAUAACGCUCGGAAACGGACGCUAAUACCGCAUACGUCCUACGGGAGAAAGCAGGGGACCUUCGGGCCUUGCGCUAUCAGAUGAGCCUAGGUCGGAUUAGCUAGUUGGUGAGGUAAUGGCUCACCAAGGCGACGAUCCGUAACUGGUCUGAGAGGAUGAUCAGUCACACUGGAACUGAGACACGGUCCAGACUCCUACGGGAGGCAGCAGUGGGGAAUAUUGGACAAUGGGCGAAAGCCUGAUCCAGCCAUGCCGCGUGUGUGAAGAAGGUCUUCGGAUUGUAAAGCACUUUAAGUUGGGAGGAAGGGCAGUAAAUUAAUACUUUGUCUGUUUUGACGUUACCGACAGAAUAAGCACCGGCUAACUACUGUGCCAGCCGACC